CUUCCAGUAGCACCUUAGAGACCAACUAAGUUUGGAUGCACACGAAAGCUCAUACCUUUAACAAACUUAGUUGGUCUCUAAGGUGCUACUGGAAG
rnacentral:miRNA from 1 species